rnacentral:rRNA from 1 species
UAGAGUUUGAUCCUGGCUCAGAUUGAACGCUGGCGGCAGGCCUAACACAUGCAAGUCGAGCGGUAACAGGAAUUAGCUUGCUAAUUCGCUGACGAGCGGCGGACGGGUGAGUAAUGCCUGGGAAUAUGCCUUGAUGUGGGGGAUAACUAUUGGAAACGAUAGCUAAUACCGCAUAAUGUCUUCAGACCAAAGAGGGGGAUCUUCGGACCUCUCGCGUCAAGAUUAGCCCAGGUGAGAUUAGCUAGUUGGUGGGGUAAGAGCUCACCAAGGCGACGAUCUCUAGCUGGUCUGAGAGGAUGAUCAGCCACACUGGAACUGAGACACGGUCCAGACUCCUACGGGAGGCAGCAGUGGGGAAUAUUGCACAAUGGGCGAAAGCCUGAUGCAGCCAUGCCGCGUGUAUGAAGAAGGCCUUCGGGUUGUAAAGUACUUUCAGUCGUGAGGAAGGGUGUGUAGUUAAUAGCUGCACAUCUUGACGUUAGCGACAGAAGAAGCACCGGCUAACUCCGUGCCAGCAGCCGCGGUAAUACGGAGGGUGCGAGCGUUAAUCGGAAUUACUGGGCGUAAAGCGCAUGCAGGUGGUUCAUUAAGUCAGAUGUGAAAGCCCGGGGCUCAACCUCGGAACCGCAUUUGAAACUGGUGAACUAGAGUGCUGUAGAGGGGGGUAGAAUUUCA